UACGUAGGGUGCGAGCGUUGUCCGGAAUUAUUGGGCGUAAAGAGCUCGUAGGCGGUCUGUCGCGUCGAAUGUGAAAACCCGGGGCUCAACUCCGGGCUUGCAUUCGAUACGGGCAGGCUAGAGUUCGGUAGGGGAGUCUGGAAUUCCUGGUGUAGCGGUGAAAUGCGCAGAUAUCAGGAGGAACACCGGUGGCGAAGGCGGAACUCUGGGCCGAUACUGACGCUGAGGAGCGAAAGCGUGGGGAGCGAACAGG
rnacentral:rRNA from 1 species